CGACAAGCGCCCCGACCAGCGCCACGCACACCUUAUUACAGCCCUACAGAUCCUGCCUCCGCCACCAGCGUGUAACUACUGUCCUCUGCUCUUCCUCGACCACGGGCCUGCAGAGAGGGAAAGACAAAACAAUGCAGAAGCUGAAGAAGCAUUACUGGAAGCGAGCGUCGUUGUUACCUGGAGAAUGUGUUCCUCCGCUCUCUGCUGGCUCAUCGCUCCUCCCACACCAGGUAGCGAAUCAUGAUGUGGUUAUACACACCGCCCUUCUUCGUGUGAUGGCAUUCGUCAAUAACCAUCAGAGUGA